AUUCUCACUUCGGCAGCACGUAUUUUAAAAUUGGAAUGAUACAGAGAAGAUUAACACAGCCCCUUUGCAAGGAUGACAUGCAAAUUCAUGAACCAUUUCCCUCUCCA